CAAGUUCGGAAGGCGCCUCGACGACCACGACGGCGACGGCGACGUGGAGACGUAUUAGCGAGAACCGGCACAAUCAUCACCAACAAUCGAGGGACUGUCGACCGCUCAGACGCAACUGUCGCAACGUACGAGGCAAGGUCAUCCCUUGACACCUAGUCGCAGCGAUCCCGGAAGAUUCCGGUUCCAGCUGAACGCGGCCACCUCCGACUUCCGACGCAAAUAAUCGUUUCCGACUUCCGCCAGGAUGAUCCAAUCAAGGUGACCGUGUGCAGGUGGUGCACGAUUAGCGGAGAAACGCUCGGUGAGCGGCCACGUAACCACGUGUCGGGCAACCCUCACGCCAGUCGAGAAAGGCGCGUGUUGACGCGCCGCAUCGUAGCUCGCGUGCGCUGGCGCAUGCGAUCGAUACUCAACACCGCCGGGGUUUUCGCGUCCCCGCGCGACGUCACGAUACAAGAGCCGAGGAACACCGACAAAGGACGAGGCCGACCGAGACCGGCCGAGGUAGCGCGAGCCGCGGUAGCAGCAGCCGUCGACGCGAGCACGGCCCAACCGUCACCGUCGUUUCGACGUCGUGCACACUUUCUUGCCGCCGAUCGUCCACGCGGAAAUCAGUUCCCGUCAACCCCGUAUCGUCUUCGACGGCUCGAGUCGCGGUGAACGCGAGCCGCGCGCGAAAGUGCUCCGAGUGGUGUGUUCCUCGUUUGGCUGGAAAGGUCGCGUAACGAGGACUCCGGGUCGAACAGAAACUGACACACUCGAAGCAUCGAGCGAACCACGACAUCUUCAGC